rnacentral:rRNA from 1 species
GACAGAGGGUGCGAACGUUGUCCGGAAUCAUUGGGCGUAAAGAGCGCGCAGGCGGCUUGGCAAGUCGGGUGUGAAAUCCCGGGGCUCAACCCCGGGACUGCAUUCGAUACUGUCAGGCUAGAGGUAGGUAGGGGAGAUCGGAAUUCCUGGUGUAGCGGUGAAAUGCGCAGAUAUCAGGAGGAACACCGGUGGCGAAGGCGGUUCUCUGGGCAUUACCUGACGCUGAGGAGCGAAAGUGUGGGGAGCGAACAGG